rnacentral:rRNA from 1 species
CAGCCGCCACGGUAAUACGGAGGGGGCUAGCGUUGUUCGGAAUUACUGGGCGUAAAGCGCACGUAGGCGGCUUGGUAAGUUAGAGGUGAAAGCCUGGAGCUCAACUCCAGAAUUGCCUUUAAGACUGCCGAGCUAGCAGGUGAGAGAGGUAAGUGGAAUUCCGAGUGUAGAGGUGAAAUUCGUAGAUAUUCGGAAGAACACCAGUGGCGAAGGCGGCUUACUGGCUCAUACUGGACGCUGAGGUGCGAAAGCGUGGGGAGCAAACAGGAUUAGAUACCCCGGUAGUCCCUGUCUCUUAUAU